CUGGCACGCACACCCAGAGGUCACUGUUUCCACAUAUAAUGCUCUCUCCGUGUGUGCAGAAAUAAAAUCUCAGAACCUUGUCGCCUUUCACCAGCUACAUGUGCUAAUGGAAGUGAAACCAAGGCUCUACACCU
ensembl:snoRNA small nucleolar RNA SNORA68